rnacentral:rRNA from 1 species
AGCGAACGCUGGCGGCAGGCUUAACACAUGCAAGUCGAACGGGCGUAGCAAUACGUCAGUGGCAGACGGGUGAGUAACGCGUGGGAACGUACCCUUUUGGUUCGGAACAACCCAGGGAACUUGGGCUAAUACCGGAUAAGCCCUUACGGGGAAAGAUUUAUCGGACCGAAAGAUCGGCCCGCGUCUGAUUAGCUAGUUGGUGAGGUAACGGCU